UAAUACGAACCGUACAAACGUUAUUCGGAAUCACUGGGCUUAAAGGGUGCGUAGUCGGCCAUGUAAGUGAGGUGUGAAAUCCCUCGGCUCAACCGAGGAACUGCGCUUCAUACUGCAUGGCUUGAGGGAGACAGGGGUUAGCGGAACUGAUGGUGGAGCGGUGAAAUGCGUUGAUAUCAUCAGGAGCACCGGUGGCGAAAGCGGCUAACUGGGUCUCUUCUGACGCUGAGGUACGAAAGCUAGGGUAGCGAACG
rnacentral:rRNA from 1 species